CAAUAGCGUAUAUUAAAGUUGUUGCAGUUAAAAAGCUCGUAGUUGGAUUUCUGGUGGGAGCGAUCGGUCUGGCGCUUAGCGCGAGUACUUGCAUCGUCUCCGGCCAUCCUUGGGGAGAGUCUGUCUGGCAUUAAGUUGUCGGGCAGAGGAUCCUCAUCGUUUACUGUGAAAAAAUUAGAGUGUUCAAAGCAGGCUUAUGCCGUUGAAUAUAUUAGCAUGGAAUAAUAAGAUAGGACUUUGGUACUAUUUUGUUGGUUUGCGCACCAAAGUAAUGAUUAAUAGGGACAGUUGGAGGUAUUCGUAUUCCGUUGUCAGAGGUGAAAUUCUUGGAUUUACGGAAGACGAACUACUGCGAAAGCAUUUACCAAGGAUGUUUUCAUUAA
rnacentral:rRNA from 1 species